UACGGAGGAUGCGAGCGUUAUCCGGAAUCAUUGGGUUUAAAGGGUGCGUAGGCUGGUAUUUAAGUCAGUGGUGAAAUUUUCGUGCUUAACAUGAGAGCUGCCAUUGAUACUGGGUACCUAGAGUGUAUCUGAUGUGGGCGGAAUGUGUUGUGUAGCGGUGAAAUGCUUAGAUAUAACACAGAACACCGAUUGCGAAGGCAGCUUACUGGGAUACAACUGACGCUGAUGCACGAAAGCGUGGGGAUCAAACAGG
rnacentral:rRNA from 1 species